UGAUUCCCACUGUGGAUCUCUCCUCUCUCGCCCACGACCUUUCCGCCGCCAUCGAUGUCCUUCCCUUUGGCUCGCAGAUCCUCGUGCCUCAGUCCUCGGCCGCCCUCUCCUUUUCUUGUCUUCUCUCAUGACGGCGACGAGCUCCACCUCAGGUCGGUUGCGGCACCACACCACGGGAGCCAGUACCUGAUUUUUCCGACACAGCAGUUGUAGUCCUUGGGAGUGUUGCUGCCAGAUCCAACUCGCCCGAGCACCCGGUCAGAGGUACGCCGCUGGACACGUUCCUUCAUCUGCACCAAGUUUAUUCUACAUCUAACUUGUUUAGGCCCUGCUUGGAUUCGGUGUAAGUUUAUACACCCGAAUUUAAUUUACAGGUGUAAAUUACCAGCCGCAGUGUAUUUUCCGUCUGGAAUAGAAAUGAGGGCUGGAGGUCUGUAUCGAUUACGGAGGUAUUUGGGAGGCAGCCGACAAUCCAAGUGGGGCCUUAUAUGUAAAUGGCAACAGAAGAUGAUCAAUAUCUUUCAAGAAAUCUGAACCUGAAGUUGUCAAAGUUGAGUGCAAUCUUAUUCUCGUUUUCUUUUGUAGUUUAGGACUAAAACUAACUAGGAGGCAAUUGAAUGUGCUUACAUUUUCAGAGCAGCCGUUGUCAGGUCUUAUCAUAGAGUCAAUCGACAGUGAGCACUUGUGCGUGGGAAACCUUCAAGUUCUGUUGAGUUCAUGUGAUUUCUUACCGAACUCAUCCCUGCAGAAACGCCCUGGACUAAUUGCAUAACUGUUUUUGUUUUAGAGGUGGCAUCAGACAAGAGGUUGUUCGUCUUAUCAUAAAGUGCCACAAGAAUUAAAGCCCAACAGAAACUGAACUUGUUUCCCAUUUACCCUAAUUGAAAUUAUACUGCAGCAGCUUCUCCGAGAGCUAUCAGAUCGACAUGUGAAGGUACAAGAUGGUGUCCAUUCAACAAGGGGUGGUAUUUCGAUCCAUGGUGCCACUGCACAUUCAGCUCCAUCUCCAUCCGUCUUGGCUGGCGAUCAUCCCUUCUUCCUAGCCGCCAGCCUCUGUGAUAAUUUUAGGUUGUUGGAUUGUGAAGCGAGAUUCUAGCCAUCAGCAGAGAGAUGAUUUAUUUGGGAUGAAAGGAUCUCCCAGUCUUGCAAAUUACUGUCAAUCUGCCAUUCCUCCAAUCAGUGAAGGCCAGCUGCUGCUCCUGAUCAUGGUUUAACUUUCAUAUGUGUUUUGAACUAUAUUCAUACUCCAUGUGCUUUGGAGUAUAUUCAUAGUUCAGUAGGCAGUAGCGAGUAUAAAUCAACUCGAUGUACAGAUGGACAUAUACAAUUAUAAAAAAAAUAGACCUCCCAGCUCAAUAUUUUUCUCUUUUGUGUUAUUACUUACUACUGGUUGGAGUGCCUUGUAUUUCGUAAGGAAAGGGAAAACUUCUAUGAAGUAACUUGAUUUAGUCCAUUUUAUAUCUCUAUAGUUUUAUGCUUGCUUUCAUUUCCAUUUAUUUACAAGCUUACUGAUUAUUGUAUCAUUGAAAAGUAUGGGCAAGGCAACAUGGUCCAUCAUGGUGGAAGCCCUGCCAUUCUCUCGACGACAUACUGAUGUUAUGCAAGUUUCCAAUUUGAGAAACACCUUAUUCUAUUUUUUUUAAUUGGAGGUAAUGGAAGAAAUUAUGCCAUAUAUGCAAUAUUUAAUUGUCAUGACCUUGAUGUAUGAAGUGCGAACUUGCUUACAAUCCGAGUGUUAUCCAUCCAACUGUAGGGUGAGAGUCAACAAAAUUUUGGGGUCUUGACUUACAAAGACUGUUUCUUCUGUAUAUAUCCUUGUUCUAUUGAUACACAUAAUAUUGGCUGAUCAAAAUAAUUGUCAAGUAUGAAUGGUAUUGUUGUCUGCAGAGCAGUGGUGUUAUGCUGUUACGACUCUGCACUCCUUUACUAUCAACGACUAGAAUUUGCCCUUCUGUUAAUCUCUAAUACAUAUAUCAUCUUUACAAACUUAUCCCGCAUGUUUUGAUCCUCUAUACUUACAAAUGUUCCUAUCAUUCUACUGGAAAAA